AGCAGUGGCAUCAACUUAGAGAUCAUAAGCCAAAAAAAGUUCCAUAAGCUAUCAGUUUUUCCUUCUCCUACAACUUCUCUAGCUUCUUCACCAUGUCAGGCAAGUGCGGCAACUGCGACUGCUCCGACAGCAGCAACUGCGUG